CCUACGGGAGGCAGCAGUGGGGAAUAUUGGGCAAUGGGCGCAAGCCUGACCCAGCAACGCCGCGGGAAGGAAGAAGGCUUUCGGGUUGUAAACUUCUUUUCUGAGGGACGAAGAAAGUGACGGUACCUCAGGAAUAAGCCACGGCUAACUACGUGACAGCAGCCGCGGUAAUACGUAGGUGGCAAGCGUUAUCCGGCGUUAUUGGGUGUAAAGGGCGUGUAGUCGGGAAAGCAAGUCAGAUGUGAACCCUCAGGGCUCAACCCUGAGCCUGCAUUUGAAACUGUGUGUCUUGAGUGCUGGAGAGGCGAUCGGAAUUCCGUGUGUAGCGGUGAAAUGCGUAGAUAUACGGAUGAACACCAGUGGCGAAGGCGGAUUGCUGGACAGUAACUGACGCUGAGGCGCGAAAGCGUGGGGAGCAAACAGGAUUAGAUACCCUUGUAGUC
rnacentral:rRNA from 1 species